rnacentral:rRNA from 1 species
GAUGAACGCUGGCGGCGUGCCUAACACAUGCAAGUCGAGCGAGAUAAAUGUGAGUGGAGACUUCGGUCAAAGCAAUCAUUUUGAAAGCGGCGGACGGGUGAGUAACGCGUGAGCAAUCUGCCCCAUACAAAGGGAUACCCACUGGAAACGGUGAUUAAUACCUUAUAAGACCACGAAGUCGCCUGGCUUAGUGGCCAAAGAUUUAUCGGUAUGGGAUGAGCUCGCGUCUGAUUAGCUAGUUGGUGAGGUAAUGGCUCACCAAGGCGACGAUCAGAAGCCGACGUGGGAGGGGGAACGGCGACACUGGAACUGGGACACGGUCCAGACUCCUACGGGAGGCAACAGUGGGGAAUAUUGCACAAUGGGCGCAAGCCUGAUGCAGCAACGCCGCGCGAAUGAUGAAGGCCUUCGGGUCGUAAAGUUCUGUCCUAAGGGAAGAAUACAGUGACGGUACCUUAGGAGGAAGCCCCGGCUAACUACGUGCCAGCCGCCGCAGUAA